rnacentral:rRNA from 1 species
UACGUAGGGGGCUAGCGUUGUCCGGAAUCAUUGGGCGUAAAGCGCGCGUAGGCGGCCCGGUAAGUCCGUUGUGAAAGUCAAAGGCUCAACCUUUGAAUGCCGAUGGAUACUGCCGGGCUCGAGUCCGGAAGAGGCGAGUGGAAUUCCUGGUGUAGCGGUGAAAUGGCGCAGAUAGUCAGGAGGAACACCAAUUGCGAAGGCAGACUCGCUGGGACGUAACUGACGCUGAGACGCGAAGCGUGGGAGCGAACAGG